UCUUUUCUAGCUUAUUGGGCAUCCCGGGAGUCUUGUACAGCUGGUGGUCCUACCUGGGACUCAGAGACCGCUUCAACAGAUCCAGAGAGAGAGAGAGAGAGAAAACCCAGCGGGAUGCUGACUCUUACCAUGGAGUGAAGCCCUCCAGGAAGCUUUAAAAACUUUAACACAGUCUUCUUUUGUUUAUUGUAAGUCCUUAGUUAGUGGUUCUCUUACGUUUAAGACUUUUUAAUUUAACCAAACCGAAUACCAGUGUUGGUAGGAGGGGAGGGUUUUCUUGGAGUUAUUUUAGUGAUUUAUGUAAAGAAAAUACGAUCUUUAAAGGAACUUUGAUUUA